rnacentral:piRNA from 1 species
UACUACUAGCUUUUCUUUGUAGUA